rnacentral:lncRNA from 1 species
CAAAGGGACUUCCCAAGCAUGGGUGGCAGCUGUUCAAGUCCAUCUGGUCAAGAAUUCACUAAGAUCAUAAUGUGAAAGUUGCUCAAAUGCAGAUUUGCACGACAGCCUGCAAAUGUUCCUUUGGAGACGAAAUGGUUUCUCAGGCCAAUAAUCUGCAUAUUU